rnacentral:rRNA from 1 species
GACGAACGCUGGCGGCGUGCCUAAUACAUGCAAGUAGAACGCUGAAGGAGGAGCUUGCUUCUCUGGAUGAGUUGCGAACGGGUGAGUAACGCGUAGGUAACCUGCCUGGUAGCGGGGGAUAACUAUUGGAAACGGUAGCUAAUACCGCAUAAUAGUAGAUGUUGCAUGACAUUUGCUUAAAAGGUGCAAUUGCAUCACUACCAGAUGGACCUGCGUUGUAUUAGCUAGUUGGUGGGGUAACGGCUCACCAAGGCGACGAUACAUAGCCGACCUGAGAGGGUGAUCGGCCACACUGGGACUGAGACACGGCCCAGACUCCUACGGGAGGCAGCAGUAGGGAAUCUUCGGCAAUGGACGGAAGUCUGACCGAGCAACGCCGCGUGAGUGAAGAAGGUUUUCGGAUCGUAAAGCUCUGUUGUAAGAGAAGAACGAGUGUGAGAGUGGAAAGUUCACACUGUGACGGUAUCUUACCAGAAAGGGACGGCUAACUACGUG